GAUGUGGCGCAGUGGUAGUGCGACUGCCUGCGACGCAGAAGGUUCAGGUACGAUUCCUGGUGGUUCA